UACGUAGGGGGCAAGCGUUGUCCGGAAUUAUUGGGCGUAAAGCGCACGCAGGCGGUCUGCCAAGUUUGGAGUGACAGUUGGUGGCUCAACCAUCAAAGUGCUUCGAAAACUGGCAGACUUGAGGACUUCAGAGGGACACGGAAUUCCGGGUGGAGUGGUGAAAUGCGUAGAUAUUGGGAGGAACACCGGUGGCGAAGGCGGCUACCUGGACCGGUUCUGACGCUGAUGCGCGAAAGCGUGGGGAGCAAACAGG
rnacentral:rRNA from 1 species